rnacentral:rRNA from 1 species
GUGAGGAAUAUUGCGCAAUGGAGGCAACUCUGACGCAGCCAUGCCGCGUGCAGGAAGAAGGCGCUACGCGUUGUAAACUGCUUUUAACCGGGAAGAAACCCCAGGACGUGUCCUGGGUUGACGGUACCGGAGGAAUAAGCACCGGCUAACUUCGUGCCAGCAGCCGCGGUAAUACGAAGGGUGCAAGCGUUAUCCGGAUUCAUUGGGUUUAAAGGGUGCGUAGGCGGAGCGUUAAGUCAGUGGUGAAAUCCUGCAGCGUAACUGUAGACUUGCCAUUGAUACUGGCGCUCUUGAGUGCGCUUGAAGUGGGCGGAAUGUGCCGUGUAGCGGUGAAAUGCUUAGAUAUGGCACAGAACACCAAUUGCGAAGGCAGCUCACUAAGGCGAUACUGACGCUGAGGCACGAAAGCGUGGGGAUCGAACAGGAUUAGAAACCCGAGUAGUCC